GAUCCUGGCUUAGGAUGAACGCUAGCUACAGGCUUAACACAUGCAAGUCGAGGGGAAACGACAUCGAAAGCUUGCUUUUGAUGGGCGUCGACCGGCGCACGGGUGAGUAACGCGUAUCCAACCUGCCCACCACUUGGGGAUAACCUUGCGAAAGUAAGACUAAUACCCAAUGACGUCUCUAGAAGACAUCUGAAAGAGAUUAAAGAUUUAUCGGUGAUGGAUGGGGAUGCGUCUGAUUAGCUUG
rnacentral:rRNA from 1 species